rnacentral:rRNA from 1 species
AGAGUUGUAUCCUGGCUCAGAUUGAACGCUGGCGGCAUGCCUUACACAUGCAAGUCGAACGGUAACGCGGGGCAACCUGGCGACGAGUGGCGAACGGGUGAGUAAUGUAUCGGAACGUGCCCAGUUGUGGGGGAUAACUGCUCGAAAGAGCAGCUAAUACCGCAUACGACCUGAGGGUGAAAGCGGGGGAUCGCAAGACCUCGCGCAAUUGGAGCGGCCGAUAUCAGAUUAGGUAGUUGGUGGGGUAAAGGCCUACCAAGCCUACGAUCUGUAGCUGGUCUGAGAGGACGACCAGCCACACUGGGACUGAGACACGGCCCAGACUCCUACGGGAGGCAGCAGUGGGGAAUUUUGGACAAUGGGGGCAACCCUGAUCCAGCCAUGCCGUGUGCGGGAAGAAGGCCUUCGGGUUGUAAACCGCUUUUGUCAGGGAAGAAAUCCUUUGAACUAAUACUUCGGAGGGAUGACGGUACCUGAAGAAUAAGCACCGGCUAACUACGUGCCAGCAGCCGCGGUAAUACGUAGGGUGCAAGCGUUAAUCGGAAUUACUGGGCGUAAAGCGUGCGCAGGCGGUUAUGCAAGACAGAUGUGAAAUCCCCGGGCUCAACCUGGGAACUGCAUUUGUGACUGCAUAGCUAGAGUACGGUAGAGGGGGAUGGAAU